UUUGAAAAUGUAGUUGUACUGAACUCUGUAAAUCUACAACACGCCAACAAGGUGACUGACCUGCCCAGAUUCAGAUUUCAGAUACAGAUUUCAGAUUGACUUUCGGUCUUCACCAAGAGAGUGUCAAGACAGUGUCAAAUGUGAGUUUUUUUGAAAAGAAAGAUCGACUUUUUAAAAGUUCAACAACGCGAUGAAACGUGCGCACAGAAAGUAAAGAAACCCGCACUAUGGAUAUCAGCUGAGAAAACUGUUCAUCUUCUGCACGAACAAACAACGCCUCCACAAAGACGUCUUCGUUCUCGCUUUUGGCAUUUUAGAUGCAAUCCCAAUCUCAACGACAGGCUUAUAAAAUGGCGGGCAUGAUCCGUGCUAGCCACACUUGCUUUGCGAAUCAGCAAAGACAGUGCCCAAAAUGAACUCUCUAAUACUGUUCCUGUUUCUUGGAGUGAGUGUCGUCUUGGCCGAGAUCCAUGUUAAACAUGAUCCACACCAUGGCCACCAUGACCACGAAUAGCAUAAGCCAUCAAACCCAACAGAGUCGGGCAAAGUAGCAGACGAGGAAAACGAUCCACGCCGCCCUCGUCCUUCUUUUGGGCCUACUAUGAAAAAGUGUAUAAGAAAGUGCCUCGAAGAGUAUAAGCCGUCAAAUAUGCCGUCAAAAAUCCCAGAGAAGCUAGCUGACAAGGAAAAUGAUCCUGUCCGUCCUGGUCCCACUGGUCAUCGUUCUAGUUUUUCGCCUGCGUUGGAGAAGUGUAUUGAGAAAUGCAUCGAAGAAGGGGAGCGAUAAAGUCCGAUGGCCUGUAGAGCAACUUCGUCCGAUCAUGUUUCAUGAACGCAUAAUUCAGACAUGCGUAGUUCUUGUUGGGGAUAAAUUACAAAGACAGGGGAAUAAAGCAUUGAAAAAGUA